rnacentral:rRNA from 1 species
GGGGAAUUUUCCGCAAUGGGCGCAAGUCUGACGGAGCAAUACCGCGUGAGGGAGGAAGGCUCUUGGGUUGUAAACCUCUUUUAUCAGGGAAGAAAAGAUGACGGUACCUGAUGAAUCAGCAUCGGCUAACUCCGUGCCAGCAGCCGCGGUAAUACGGGGGAUGCAAGCGUUAUCCGGAAUUAUUGGGCGUAAAGCGUCCGUAGGUGGCGAAUCAAGUCUUUUGUCAAAGCGUGCGGCUCAACCGCAUAUGGGCAGGGAAAACUGAUUAGCUAGAGUGCGAUAGGGGUCACAGGAAUUCCCAGUGUAGCGGUGAAAUGCGUAGAUAUUGGGAAGAACACCAGCGGCGAAAGCGUGUGACUGGGUCUGCACUGACACUGAGGGACGAAAGCUAGGGGAGCGAAAGGGAUUAGAUACCCCUGUAGUCCUAGCCGUAAACGAUGACAACUAGGUGUGGUUCGUAUCGACCCGAGCCGUGCCGUAGCCAACGCGUUAAGUUGUCCGCCUGGGGAGUACGCACGCAAGUGUGAAACUCAAAGGAAUUGACGGGGGCCCGCACAAGCGGUGGAGUAUGUGGUUUAAUUCGAUGCAACGCGAAGAACCUUACCAAGGCUUGACAUCCUGCGAACUUUUCUGAAAGGAGAAGGUGCCUUCGGGAGCGCAGAGACAGGUGGUGCAUGGCUGUCGUCAGCUCGUGUCGUGAGAUGUUGGGUUAAGUCCCGCAACGAGCGCAACCCGCGUUUUUAGUUGCCAUCAUUGAGUUGGGCACUCUAGAGAGACUGCCGGUGACAAACCGGAGGAAGGUGUGGAUGACGUCAAGUCAGCAUGCCCCUUACGCCUUGGGCUACACACGUACUACAAUGCGUUGGACAGAGGGUCGCAAGUCAGCGAUGGCAAGCCAAUCUCAGAAACCAACGCUCAGUUCAGAUUGCAGGCUGCAACUCGCCUGCAUGAAGGCGGAAUCGCUAGUAAUCGCAGGUCAGCAUACUGCGGUGAAUACGUUCCCGGGCCUUGUACACACCGCCCGUCACACCAUGGGAGUUGGUCAUGCCCGAAGUCGUUACUCUAACCGUUCGCGGAGGAGGAUGCCGAAGGUGGGGCUGAUGACUGGGGUGAAGUCGUAACAAGGUAGCCGUACCGGAAGGUGUGGCUGGAUCACCUCCU